AGAAUCAACGCUGGCGGCGUGCCUAACACAUGCAAGUCGCACGAGAAAGGGGAGCAAUCCCUGAGUAAAGUGGCGCACGGGUGAGUAACACGUGAAUCAUCUACCUCCGAGUGGGGAAUAACCUGGAGAAAUCUGGGCUAAUACCGCAUAACACUUACGAGUCAAAGCAGCAAUGCGCUUGGAGAGGAGUUCGCGGCCGAUUAGCUAGUUGGCGGGUAAUGGCCCACAAGGCGAUGAUCGGUA
rnacentral:rRNA from 1 species